rnacentral:rRNA from 1 species
UACAGAGGGGCGAAGCGUUGUUCGGAAUUACUGGGCGUAAAGGGCGCGUAGGCGGCCUUCUAAGUCGAACGUGAAAUCCCCGGGCUCAACCCGGGAACUGCGUCCGAUACUGGAAGGCUUGAAUCCGGGAGAGGGAUGCGGAAUUCCAGGUGUAGCGGUGAAAUGCGUAGAUAUCUGGAGGAACACCGGUGGCGAAGGCGGCAUCCUGGACCGGUAUUGACGCUGAGGCGCGAAAGCCAGGGGAGCAAACGGG